GGUCAAGAAGGUUUUCUCUGGCGGAGCCUUGUUGUUGACGACCAUGGAUGGUGAGGAUUUUCCAUCCCCUGUGAAUGUGGACGCAGUUAAAAAAUACUUCGUAUAAGAGACCCGCUGGACGAAAAGGAUAAAAUAGUCUAGGCAAAAAUGGGCAUCCCGGCGAACAAAAAAAAUGAAAAAAAUGAAAAAAGUUUGGGCAAAAAUUAGGGAUAAAAAAAAAAGUUGUACACCUGGCAAGUCGAAAACCCCACAAGGGCGGCUUGGGCAAAAAAGGGUAUCCCGGUGGACUGAAAACCCGAAAGGGCGGUCCAGGCAAAAGAGGGAGUGA
rnacentral:lncRNA from 1 species